UAGAAGAGGAGUGAUCCUAUGUUGAUUUGUUAGACUGAGUUCUAAGACCUUGGCCAGGGCAGUAAUAUAAAGUGGAAAAAGAGUUUUCCACUAUCGAACUCAAGUCGAAUAAAUCUUGACAUAUGACAGACGAUGGGGUUUGACGAGUUGUCCAUGACCUCCGUUCUGUAGGGAUCCACGAUAGUAGGACUAUAUCACAUGUUAACUGCACCUAGAGGUUCAUCAUUCUAUUCUGCUGGGUAGCCACUACAUGCUGCUAGGUAUCACUGGUGGAUGGUGGGACUCAUAGGGAUUAUCUUGAUGAUCGAUAAACCCUAAUGAGUGGAGUUGGAAUCGUUCCAACCCAUUGAAAGGAGUUUUUAAUGAUAUUGAGAUAGAGAUCACAAUAUAUCUCACUACCAGUCAGAGUAGAACCUAUGGGGUCACACACACUAGAAGUAUUG
rnacentral:lncRNA from 1 species